GACGAACCGAGCGAACGUUAUUCGGAAUCACUGGGCUUAAAGGGCGCGUAGGCGGCUUCGCAAGUGGAAGGUGAAAUCCCUCGGCUUAACCGAGGAACUGCCCUCCAAACUGCGUUGCUUGAGGCCGGGAGAGGUGAGUGGAACUGCGAGUGUAGAGGUGAAAUUCGUAGAUAUUCGCAAGAACACCAGUGGCGAAGGCGGCUACCUGGACAGAAACUGACGCUGAGGCACGAAAGCUAGGGGAGCAAACAGG
rnacentral:rRNA from 1 species